CAAUUCUUUCAUUAAAAAAAAAAAAAGUUAGGUUUUGCGACAAAACUCAAUUUUUCAGUUUUGGCACAAAGGGGAGGAAGAAAAGCACUUGACUCAAUGACCUGAUGCAAUCACCUUGGUGUGUAGGCUGUGUACAGAUGCAGGGUCAACUUUGAAUCUCCUGCUGUAAAACAUAUGCAUGCAGAUCACCCACUGUUUGUGGUGUAGACAGCCAAUAGGAAAGCACGUCCCAGGCAGCAGUUUGGGGUGUGAUAUAUCCUAGGGGCCUGAAGGGUAGUUGAGAUGACAUGCUUAAACCAACCUCCAAGAUCCAAGCUGAGAAACCUACCAGCCAGGCCUGUGCUUUUGUACCAAGUGAAAUCUGUGGGGGAGACUUACAGCUCAUAAUUAACCCUGCACAAAUCAAUGGAAGUGGGCAUUCAGACACUUUGCACUGACUGCAGCUAAUGUGUAAAGCAAGCUGAGGGAAUUCAAUAAUGCAGUCUUCUCGCUGAUUGAAUCUCCUUGGAGUGACAGAAAGUGAUGUUAAGUCACUGAAGUAGGCAAGAACACUCGAGUAAUAUACUGUAAAUUUGUGUUUUUUAACUAGUUGUCUCGCCCAGUGGCUGUCAAACUCGGUCCUGGCAGACUUUUAUGUGCACUGGUUUUCUUCCAACCCAUCUCUUACACAAUUAAAGUUGUGUUUAAGUUCUUAAACUUAAGACAAUGCAGGUUUGACUUGCUAUAGCUUGCUUUGUCUUGCAUUAUCUCCAAAAUAGUGGCCAUGUGUCCAAACUUUCUCCAUAAUUAUGAGCCUAUUGAUUCACUUCAGUCUCUAAAACUUUUUUAGGAUACAAAAAAAAAAAAAAGCACAAACUUGAGACAUAAAGAAGCAGGCUCCAAUGGCAAUACAAUACAAGAUUACUCAAAGAACUCAAAGAACGAUUAUUUAUAAGAGGUACGUUUAUACAUUCUCUAAAAUCUUGAGAAAUACCAGGUGCAUGGAAGCGAGGCAGUAUGAAAGGGGUCUGGACCAGUAUGAAACUACAGCCUUUGUAGUUUUACUUCUUAACCUCAUUUAAAAUUGUGGAAUCUAUCAUCAACUGGUAUUAAUGCCAUACAGCUUGGUUGGUUACUAGUUUGAAAUGUAAAAGGUACAAGGAAAGACCUAUUUAAUUGUUGUAGACCAUAAUUCAAUGCCUUGUCCUUGCUAUUGUAAAGCCAGCAGCAGGUCAUUAAAAUAUCUUAAAUAUCCAGAAUAUGCUAAAUUGCACCCUGAACUGUCUGGGCCAAUUGAAAACAUGCACACCAAAAAAUAAUAAAUAAAUAAAUAAAUAAAUAAAUAAUGAAGCAAUCCCACUUAAAAUGCACUUUUUCAAGCUGCUUAUACUAGUGUCUGCCAAAUUACUCAAUGUAAAUUGGAAAUUGAGCUCUGUCAGUAGAAUAAGUUAGCAUACGUGGAAAAAGUCAUCCCACACAAACACUUGACACAUUGAUAUCCAGGCUUUAUGCAAAUGGCAAGCUUAGAUUACAUCAAAUUAUAAGACAUGAUGCAAGCAAUUGUCUCAGACAUUGGCCAUUUAAAUAAUGUAAUUAGGUGAUAUUUUAUCUCUUUAUAAAUUAUUCAUUUACUGCACUGAAAACUAGGUGUGGCAGUAGGUGUGGGCAUAUGGAAGGUGAUGAACAGCAUAGGGAAGUUCAGCACCAUGGAUAGCUACCGAGCGCUCAGAAGCCAAUGCACCUGCCCCAGGUCUCAGGCGGUCCAUGAGAUUACAUUACAUUACAGGCAUUUAGCAGAUGCUCUUAUUCAGAUCGACUUACACAACUUUUUGCAUAGUAUUGACAUUGCAUCAAUUUAUAUAGCUGAAUACAUAUUGAAGCAAUGCAGGUUAAGUACCUUGCUCAAGGGUACAACAAGGGUGUCCUACCUGGGAAUCGAACCUGUUACAUUAGGCUAGCACCUCUGCUAGUCUUUGGCAAAAAGCAAUGAUAGAGACUUAAGUUAGCAUUGGUCCUACUCAUUGAUGUGAAUCAUUAGUGGGAUACAGGUACCUUGUUUUUAAAGUGAUAGUUCACCCAAAAUCGUAAAUAAAAAUCAUACCUCUCAAUUCAGUGAACUGUGCAUCCAAAUGCCUUUUUUCAGAGAAUUAACUGCUUAUAAAUGAUGCCAGCCAGAAGUUAGGGUUAGGAUCUGACAGACUCAAAAAUGCUAGCUAACUAAAAUUACCUCCAUGUAAUUUGUAAUCAGGUUACUUAGCCAUUGUGUUUUUCUGGAAGCAUUCUGGAAACAUGUUGUACAUAUACCUUAAUGUUAUUAUUUACCGCAUAAUUUGUGGUAAAUAAUAACAUUACAAGACCAUUGAGAGUUGUUAUUUAAAUCAAUUUGGAUAUAGUGUGCUUUCAGCAUAAUACUUUUUCUAAGGUACUGUUUUAACACGGCCAUCGAACCCCAGUCCUGAAGAGCUGCUCCUGAAGGGUCUGCUUGACCUGCCAUUGGCAUAUACAGCUCAUUAAAUAUUUUAGCCAAGUCACUAAGGGCACACACACACUGGCUCUCCAGAAAUUGAAAUUCUCAAGUCUCUGAUUAGUCUGGGAGUCCACACACAUCUUGUUUCCAAUGCCUGAACUGAUUGAAAGGUGCAAAAUCAUAGCACUAAAAAGGUACUAUAGUGGAAUCCAGAUUUUGUCAGCAUUUAUUUUUCGGCAUUAUCAUAUAGAACAUUUAUAAAUGAGAAUAUUUAUCAAUGAAGCAUGAGAUGAUAAACACAUUUAAACAUGACUAAUGCAACAACAAAAAAGUCCCAUGUUUCCACAUUACUGUACAUACGGGUGCCAGAAACGUGAUUGCAAUGAUGAAUGUAUCAUUGCUAGAGGAUUUCUCAUAGUUCAUAAUUUAUAAACUAUAGUGUAUUUUCUGAGAGUAAUCUUCCGCUAUGUAUUUUUUUUCCGUUUGUAUUUUUUCCAUUCUACACACAAUGAAGCAACUCGCAUUUCAAGAUGAACAGAUUUACACCCUGUCCAGCUGUACUGAUCUGUACCAUUGUCCCAUUUCCAUCCAAAACUCCAAACUCUGUUCAAUGUCCCAUUUCGCACUUUCAGAAUGGUCUCAUAGAUCUAAAAUAGUCUGGCUUUGAGGCUGCUCAGUCAACUACGACUCCCUACUUUCACUGAAGCCCUUAAAAUUGCCAGAGCUGCUUUCCUCUCCUCUUUUCUCACUCUCCUAGGUCUGUCCACUGCAUUUGACAUCUUGAACCACAAAACCUUCCUCUCUACCUUAUCUGAGCGGGGCAUCUCUGGAUCCUGAUUUGCAACCUACCUGUAGAGGCAUUUCUACACAGUGACAUAGAGAGGAUCGGUGGCAACGCACAUCUCUAGAACACAUACGUAUAUGUUUGGCAUACGUCUCACCUUGGACGUCUGCCCAGCACUUCAAGAUACACCGUAACGAGACAGCGGAGCUCUCCCUUCCAUGAAAGACUUCUCCAUUGCUGUAAAAACCACUGUGCUGUCUGGAUGGGGGCAUCGACAGAAUGACUAAACUAAUAAAGACCGAAAUAUGAUCUGAAUGAAUUUCCAAAAUGUGUGACAUUAAAAUGGAUGCAUAUUGGGAGAUAAAUCUGCAGCAGGCCUAUGGGGACAGAUCUGGAUCCUUCAGGGUCCUUCAGCUCCAGACUGAAAGUCUGGGUCCACUCGUAUAUGACAGCUGACGAUAGCCAUGGUUACACAUCAUCCAAUGGAAGCAUGCGGCAAUGGCAAUCCACUGAUGGACAAGCCUGAAGAUACUUAUAAUCCCUGAAUGUGAAGCCACGGGAAUAUACUGAAACCAUCAUUUUUUUGUACUGUAUUUUCAGGCAAUGAUUGCAUAAUUUAACUAAAUAUAAUGGCUUAAAAAAUAAGGUAUUGGCUAUAAUGUUUUAAAAUAUUAUUAUUAUCAUUAUUGCUAAUAAUAACACUACUACUACUACUACUACUACUACUAAUAUUAUUCUAAAACAACAUCAACAACAACAAUAAUAAUCUUCUCAGAUGCUCUCAGCUGCAAGACUAUUUUCUUCUCGAUUCUCUUUACUACUAGGAUCAAAUGGAGAAGCAUAUGAAUCUUUCAGCGAUUACAUAUAUCCUGUGGGGCUCUGGCCUGUGUAUGCAGAAAUGGCCUCAGGAACCCUGUCCAACUUAAAAUCAGCCACCCAUGUCCCGUAUGAAUAUCUCUUGGUUAUAGGCAGCAGAUGACACCGUUCUUGAAUGUGAUUUAAAUUCAUGUAUAUGGUUUUAUCUUCUCAAACAUUGUUUGUAAAAUAAUUACACUAUGCAUGACAGUCAUUUCUUAUGAAGGUGGAGAGGGAGGGAGAUAAUGUGUCAUAGAAAAUUAAAAGAACAAGGCAAAAGCCUUUCUUCAGCUCAGUUCCGUUUUAUAUAUAUAACACUGAUAUGCUUUACAGGAAAUAUGAAAAGUGGAGCAAGACUGAACCUGGCACAAGAAAGUGAUUUUU